UUUGAAGUUCCAGUUUGUAUACUGCCGUCGUAAGUAAACCUCUUAAAGUUAGUAUACUUAAAUGUAAUUAAUAGCAUUUACGUCAGGUCAGAGUGCAAUUUAUAGAAAGGAAACAAUGGGUUACAAUCUUUUACAGAGAUACGUAAAAUUAAUUGAAAUAUUAUUUAGAAGGAGGACUUAAUUGUAAUUUUAUAAAACUACUUAAAAUGAAAUUGUAUCUAAAGCAUGCACAUAUCGCCCGUCACUCUCGCUCUUAAAGUGAGAUAAGUCGUAACAAAGUAGGUGUAACGGAAGUUGUCCCUGUCGAAGUAUAGCAUAUUCAAUGCUUUUUACUUACACUAAAAAUAAAGCCAACUUGGCUUGCUUCGCAAUCUAAAUUUUUACCCUCUAAAGUUUUUAUAAAAAUUUUUUAUAGAAUUAAAGUACAGAAAUGGAAAUAAAAAAGAAAGUAGCGACUAUAUCGUGUACCUUUUGCAUAAUGGCUUUACAAGAUAUUUAUUUAUCAAUUUAAUCCCGAAUUCUAUGAGAGCUAUUAUUAAACUGUUUUGAACUUACUACUAGUUGUUUCAUUAACUUUAGAAGAUUUAGUAAUAGAGGCUACAUACCACUCGCUCAAGAAAAUUUCUGGUUUCUAAAUAAUUUUAUUAAUUAAAACAUGCAAUUUUUAUUAAAUUGUAGUGUAAUAUAUGGGAGGACAAGCCCCCGUAUUGAAAACAACUUAUUUUAUUAAAUUUAAUAUAGGCUUAAAAUCAGCCACUAACAGUGCUUUAUCGCAAAUUAUACUUAAUAGGUUAUUAGAAGUGUUUAGCAUAUUUAGAAAUUUUAAUAAACAAUUCCCAAAAAAUUUUUUAUGUAAAUAUAAGUAUUAUCUUAUAUUUUUAGAUAUAAACAACUAUAGAAAAAGGAACUAGGCAAAAUUUCAUUUCGACUGUUUAUCAAAAACAUUGCUCUUUGAAUAAGAAUA
rnacentral:misc_RNA from 1 species